UGACAGAAUAUUUUAAUUAAUUAAUUCUUAUAUUAUUCCAAAAAUAUUAACAUAAUACACAGUUCUUGGUAAAAAUAGUUAUUUUUAACUCAGUAAUAAUGUUUACAAUAUAAUAACACAAAUAGGUUACCAUAAUGUUUACAAUAUAAUAGGUUUGAAGAUAGUAGAGAAAAGUACAUUAUUAUCCUUCCCAUUUUCCAGCCUAUUUUUCGAAAUUUCUACUAUUUAAAAAUGAGAAAAGUGCUUAAUUUCGGAGCACUACCGAAGCACCCCUCUUUAAUUUCCUUCUUCGUGAAGUUUUCUCCUCUUCUUCAUUCCUCUUCAUUGGAUCUCUCUCUCUCUCUAUUCAUUCCAACUCUGCCAAUCUCGAAGGCACUCCACGAGCUGCACCUGCCUUCAGCGCCUCCACCACCACGAACGCCUCUCUGCCGUGAUAUUUAGGCACUGAUCUGACUGCGUGACCUAGAAUGCUGGCAUGGAUUGGAUCAUCCAUCUAGAUACUGAUGAAUUGAUGCAUCCAGCUAGGGCUCUAGAAUAUUCUUUAAGGAGGUUGCUUGCAGAUGUACCUAGCAAUGUUGACAUGGUUAUCUUUCCAAACUAUGAAAGUAGCAUCGAGCGAGAUGACGUAACAGAUCCUUUCAGUGAGGUAAUUUAUGUUACAUUUUGCGUGUGCAAUUUCAAUUCUAGUUCUAUCGAUUAUCUUUAUCAUACCCAAUGCCCUUUUCUUGAUGUUUAACAUGGGUAUUUUGGAUUUUAAAUAAUACAAUAAGUAGGAAAUAAUGAAAACACAACUUGCAAUGGCAUUGUGUAUAUACACACAUUACGCACGUAGAAAUAUAUGUAUUAGUGUCUUGAACCAUGUACGUGCGUAUAUUGGUACCCAUUAAUACAUGCAUAUAAAUUUGCUACUAUGUAGCCGAUUCUCAAAAUAAGCUUAGGACAACUCGGGGAUGUAACUAUUCCUAUUCCAUCACCGACUAUAAAACAAAAAAAAAAGUGUAGAAGAAAGAACAGAGGAAGCACCAAGGAACGGGAAUGUGAACAGGGAUGUCAAAUCCAAAGUAUUCAGUAAGAUGAAAAACCUCAUAUUCCUCCCUUUUUUAUAUAUAUUUUUAGUGCAACUUCUCUAUUCUCUGGCUCUGGGAUUUUUUCGAGCAAACAAA